AGAUGUGAGGGCGAUCUGGCUGCAACAUCUGUGGCCCCAUUGAUCGCCAGGGCUGAUUCGGCUGAUCUGGCUGGCUAGGCGGGUGUCCCCUUCCUCCCUCACCGCUCCAGGUGCGUCCCUCCCGAAGCUGCAUGCUCGGUGGAAGAGGAGGACCGGUCUUCCAUCAAGGGUGUAUGAGUAGCUGCAGUGCCCUGCUAGAACCUCCAAACAAGCUCUCAAGAAGAAAAAUUAUACGAAUACAAAUCAUUAAGGCCGCCAAUAUUUGGAGUGGUUUUUUUU
rnacentral:snRNA from 1 species